GGAUGUGAGGGUAAUCUGGCUUCAACAUCUGUCACCCCAUUGAUUACCAGGGUUGAUUCAGCUGCUCUGUCAGGCUAGGUGGGUAUACCCUUUUACUCCCACUGCUUCACUUAUCCGGGAUAGAGACAGACUGAUCUUCAGAUGAGGGUAUAAGAGUAGCUGCAUUUCCCUGCUAGAACCUCCAAACAAGUUUUCAAAACUUAGAUGGGAAUCAGAUGGUGGUUUACCCUGCCGAGUACAUAGUUACCAUAUGUAGAGACCUGGGU
rnacentral:snRNA from 1 species